rnacentral:snRNA from 1 species
AUGCUCGCUUCGGCAGCACACAUAUUGGAACGAUACAAAGAAGAUUAACGUGGCCCCUGCACAAAGGGCAACAUGCAAAUAAAAAAAAAAGAUUUGCAUGUUGUU